rnacentral:rRNA from 1 species
UGGGGAAUAUUGCACAAUGGGCGCAAGCCUGAUGCAGCCAUGCCGCGUGUGUGAAGAAGGCCUUCGGGUUGUAAAGCACUUUCAGCGAGGAGGAAGGGUUCAGUGUUAAUAGCACUGUUCAUUGACGUUACUCGCAGAAGAAGCACCGGCUAACUCCGUGCCAGCAGCCGCGGUAAUACGGAGGGUGCAAGCGUUAAUCGGAAUUACUGGGCGUAAAGCGCACGCAGGCGGUUUGUUAAGUCAGAUGUGAAAUCCCCGCGCUUAACGUGGAACUGCAUUGAAACUGGCAAGCUAGAGUCUUGUAGAGGGGGGU